UCUGGAUGGCAGGCCAUCUGUCCCCUUUCCCUCGGCACCCCCCGUGUCAACAUUCCCUCUGUCACUUCAGAGAUGCUGUUGCCUGCACGGCAGUGGGCUUCAGGGGGGGUCACAGCCAAGGUGUUCCUGGAGAGGACUGACUCCAAGGUGGAGACCCCAGAAACCAGGCAGUAGCCCGCCAGCUGGAGUCUGGGGUCGCUGUUCUUCCUGAUCUUGUGAAGAACUGUGAUGCUUAGAGGCUGUACUGCUCUUCCUGGGCCACGGCAGCAGUGAGUGAAGGCCUCCUAUUCUCCAUGGUUCUUGAAAUUUCCAGAUUAUUUAGCAGGUCCUGAGACGGGUCCCCACCAGGCCUCCUCGUACACGAGAACGUCACGUCCGUGUCACAUUUAAGAUUACUUUGGAGGGACCUCACCGUGCUGACCGUGCCGCUUGGCUUUCUCCCUGGGAAAACCAGAGCCCAGAGAAGCAAAGAAAGUCAGCCAAAGUCACAAACAAAGUCAAGUUCCGAACCCUGACUAGAAAUCAGGUGUUCAGGCAACAGCCCUCUUUGCUGCUUGGAGAAGAAUAAAGCGUCAGCGGGAAGCGGGGGCGUCCAGCAAGGCCGGGACGCUGCCUUUGGGGGGAAAUCAGCUGAGAAGACCCUCUUUCUACACUGGGGGAUAAAGCCAGGAGCUACGUGACACAGCACUGAGCAGUGAGAAACAGUGGAAGCUCGCCAGGCCCUUCUGGGGAUGCCUUUCCCUUCCUCAUGAAGAAGGCCAAGCAGCCGGCACUGCCCGCUGGAGGUGGACACAAGCAGGGGCAGCAGGAGAAGGACCUGGUUUACCACGGCGCUGCGGCAUCAAUGCGACGGCCACCUGCCCCCAAAUUGCUUGCUGCUUGAGGGGGGACACCGACUGAUCUAAGCCUUUGCUUCUGGGUCUCUUAACCCUUGUAGCCUCACUUAUUCCUAAAUGACACAGGCCCUUCUGCCGGGAGACACCACACGCCCGGGAAGGGAGCGGAGCGAUACGGGAGCGCAGCGAUACGGGAGCGCAGCGAGCGCGUUUCGGCCGCCUGCCGAGGUAGUUGCUGUUUCUCGCUCACUUAACCGUCCACCUUGGCUGUUCCUGGUCAGGCGAUGCUUUCUGCACCCGCCCUGCGCUCCCGCAGGUGGAGAAGCCCCUGCGUUCACCUGGCAGGUGGGCACGUAGUCAUCGAUUGCUGCAAAGUACCCCCCAAACUUAGUGGCUUAAGGAAACAUCAGUUAUAGCUCACAGUCUCUGUGGGUCAGACCUCCAUCCUGCACGCCUGGGAGCCUCUGCCUCGCAGGGUCUCCUGCCGCUGCAGUCAAGCUGUCAGCAGGGCCCCGAUCCCAUCCGGAGGUGCAAGUGUGGGACAUCCCACUUCCGAGCUCACGCGGUUGUUGGUAGAUUCCAGAUCCUCCCUCGUGUAUAAGUGAGGCUGCUGGACCCUCAGUUCCUGGCUCCCUGGACCUCUCCAUAAGGCAGCUCACACGGCCACUGGCUCCAUUCGAGCAAGAGAGAGAGCGCGCCAGGGAUGAAGGGAGGCACGAGUCACACACGCUCACCUCUGCUGCCGGACCCACCGAGCGCGGGAAGCAGGAGAGCUGUCCAGCCGCGUGUCCAGGAGAAGUGGGACAGGGCAUGGCCAGGCUCGCCUCGCCGGGCCCAGACCCUUUGCUCCAGGACCUCACCCAGGAGAAGCUCCGUCCUUUCUCUGGGAACUAAGAUCCCAGUCGUGCACUCAAACCCAGGGCUCAGGGUUUGGAAACAAAUCCAGAGUCUCACUGGGGAAAUGAUCUCUGCUUCCACCAAGCCAGUCCCUCCCCGGAGGCAACAGGCACAGCCCCGCUGACCACCUGCUCGAACUGGGGGAUGGGCAGGGGAGGGGAGACGAGGGGAACAAAACAGGAAUGCCUGUCCUUCAGAGGACACAGCGGCAACCUUGAUUCCUUCAACCGUCAGGGUUAUCAGGCAACAAUGUCGAGAUCGUGACCCUGAAAACACCCAAGAGCCACUCCUCGCAUGUGUGUGGGACUCAAAUCUUGGAACUGAAUACCUUUCCCAGUGGUCACCAGGGUGGGGGGAUUCACGUGCUCCUGUGGAAGCGGGACCCGCAGAGUCGGCACCUGCAGGGCUGUACCUCUCAGGGCCAGAGCUGGGCCGGGGUUUCCUGGGAAGUCAUUGGAGCACUCCCACCAGCACCCCCGGGCACCCACUCUGGCAAACAAGCUAGCUCGUGUGCUGCCCGGCCAUGAAAACCCCCUUGUAAGGCACCAGGGUACCUGGGCCCAACACGCAGGCCUCCCCCAUGGCAGGCUUCUGGCCCUGCGACCUGCCUGCCCCAGAACCUGCCGUUCCCCAUGUCUCUCCUCUUCUCUUGAGACGUGAGACCCGGGGGCCACCUCACUGAGCACAGCACUGCCGAAGUGAUGCCCUGUAACGUCCAGGGCCAGGACACGCCACAACGCGGUGGCUCACCUGUCUCAUAGGACCCCCGCCCUUGUAGCCCAGCCGCCGUGUUGUAAAGGAGCCCUGCCACAGGGAGCCUAGACCUCUGCCCACAAGCCACGGAAGCUGGGGUCCAGGGCACAGAGGGAGCUGCCCAAUCCCCCCCCCCCGCACCCCGUUCAAAUUACAGGUUCGAGAACAAGGGAAUUGUUGCCGCUGUUUUGAGCGCUAAGAAUUGUGGCUUGUUAUGCGGCAGUAGGUGACUGUGACAAGGCUCUCCAGCUGCAUCGCUGGGAUGAACUACCUGUGAAAUACUCCAGGAGAACCAGGUGAGGCCACCCACCCGCCCACUGGGACUGGAGACCGUGCGUCCUCUGGACGUCAGAGAACGCCAAACAAAGGCAGCGUUAGCUUAGAAUAAUCACCCUCUGGCCUCACGUCCCAGCCACGUCUAUUAGGCUUUGCUCCAACUGUGAUGACAAGACCAAUGACUGUGAAUCAGGACGGAAGGACGGAAAUUGUGUUCGGGGAGGAAACCUCAUCUUCCCCUGCGGGGUGGGCUCACGGCUCGACUGCAGGACGACGCUUCCCUCCCUGUUCCCUGUCGCAGGAGAGCUUGCCUCUCUCAAGCAGGGCGCAGCGUGUUCAAGAGGCCACAAAAUGAACUGAAGCGUUUGUGGGGCUCCGGGAACAGAGCUGUCCCCCUCACCCCCACUCGGAGGAGAAUGUCGCCAGCAGAUCUGCCAGCAGCCCCUUCCCGCCGGCCCAGCUCGUGCUCAGGUGGGCUCUGGCCCCAAUCGAAAGACCCUGAGGCUGUGCUGGGCACACCCCCCCCCCCCCCCAGCUUCGUCUGUUUCCUGCAUCUGCUGUAAAGUCAGGAGCAGGUGAGAAAAGUCCUACACUCUUGCUCUGACACCCCACCCAUGCAGGGCCCCCCCCCGCCUGGUGCGCAGGGCCUAAGAUUUGCCAACCUUGUGAGUCAAAUAAACGAAAGAGAGGAACAUUGCAAAUACAAAUGUAGGUGAAUAUUUAUUUGGAAUGAGAAAAAUACUGUAACCAAUGACAGUACUUUAAAAGCUGACAAACACGGCAAGCAUCACAAAAACCGGAAGAAUAACACCGUUAAUCAUUAAUAAUUAUCUGUCUGCCGUACUUUUCUCUCUGCCUACUUUUUGGCUGUAUAUUUUUGGUCGGCCUCUUCCUAUAAUUACAUAAUAUCAUUUCCUAUAAAGACAAUAAAAAG